rnacentral:rRNA from 1 species
UACGAAGGGGGCUAGCGUUGUUCGGAAUCACUGGGCGUAAAGCGCACGUAGGCGGAUUGUUAAGUCGGGUGUGAAAUCCUGAGGCUCAACCUCAGAACUGCCUUCGAUACUGGCAAUCUCGAGUCCGGAAGAGGUUGGUGGAACAGCUAGUGUAGAGGUGAAAUUCGUAGAUAUUAGCUAGAACACCAGUGGCGAAGGCGGCCAACUGGUCCGGUACUGACGCUGAGGUGCGAAAGCGUGGGGAGCAAACAGG